AGACGGAGGGAGGCUGGGGGGGGGAGGUGUCUGUGCCAGCUUUCUCUCUUUAUCCGAUAUUUAUAUCAUCUAAUUUCAGCUCCUUUCACUGCACCACAGACCCUCCAGUGCUCCUAUGUAAUGCAUUACAUGUCCCACUAUGCAAACUGUGAACUAACGUUAUAGAUGAGUAAGGAAGAUCCCUGCAGGCUGAGACAGGCGGAUCACACCAUGCUGAAGAGGAGAGCUAUUUCCCCCACUGCAGAUGGAGACCUUCCUUCCCAAACAGAAGAGCUGCUCUGAGACCACUGCUGGGCUCUGCUCCUCUCAGAGCAAGAUUUGGAGUGAUAGCGCCUCACCUGGGGCUUCCCCAAGCAGGAGCAAUAAAGGACAAAAUGAAGUCC